GGAGAGCCUCAUGGGGAUGUUAUCCCGUACUACUUCCCCUCACUUGUCUUAAAUGGGCAUGAGGAGAAGUCAUCUCGGGAUAUCCAAUUCAGGAGGAGCCUUUUAAGGACAUGUUCAAGUCCAUCCAAGGCUUCCAUAUAUUAAAUCGCUCAACGAGAAGGUGCUGAUCACAAUAGGAAUGGGCACAGAAGACUGCUACUUUUGGAAGCAGCUAUGCAAGGCGUUACCAGGCACAUACAUGCUCACUGGCGUCUUGUGGCUCAACAACGAAACAUCGCCCCUAGGUGGUGCACGCUAAAGCCUUAGCCGAAGGAAAAGAAAGAUACUUGUGGAAACAAUUUAUCUAGGCGAUAAUAAGCCAUGGAAGAAUUCAUUAAUAAGCACGUAUGAUCGAAAUGACCAUUGGGCUCGAGGGAUUUGUUGAAGCUGAUGAAGAUGCUUGUAACUAGAGAACAAGAAGUUUUGAGGAAGAAGCUCAGAAGCCGUGAUUUAGGAUGAGGAAUGAAGUCAUUGUGGAGCUCCAAGAAAAAGGGCAUUAUAUCGAGUGAAUUAGGAGCGUGGAGAACAUGUUAUGAAGGAAAAAGUACUAUGAGCAAAUUGGUAGCGUUGAAUUUGCUUAUUAAGUUUGAGCACUCUGUGGUCGGCCUCUUAUUUACCUUUUCGCAUCUUUGCUCUGUUUGCAAUCAGUUCUAUUAAUAAAACUUCGUUGAUGUCA